UACGUAGGGUGCAAGCGUUGUCCGGAAUUAUUGGGCGUAAAGAGCUCGUAGGCGGUUUGUCGCGUCUGCUGUGAAAACCCGAGGCUCAACCUCGGGCCUGCAGUGGGUACGGGCAGACUAGAGUGCGGUAGGGGAGAUUGGAAUUCCUGGUGUAGCGGUGGAAUGCGUAGAGAUCCGGAAGAACACCGGUGGCGAAGGCGGUCUGCUGGGCCAAGACUGACGCUGAGGCGCGACAGCGUGGGGAGCAAACAGG
rnacentral:rRNA from 1 species